rnacentral:rRNA from 1 species
AUUGAACGCUGGCGGCAGGCCUAACACAUGCAAGUCGAGCGGAGCGGCGGACGGGUGAGUAAGGCCUAGGAAUCUGCCUGGUAGUGAGGGAUAACGUCAGGAAACGGGCGCUAAUACCAAAUACUAUCAGCUGAGCCUAGGUCGUAUUAGCUAGUUGGUGGGGUAAAGGCCUACCAAGACGACGAUCCGUAACUGGGCUGAGAGGAUGAUCAGUCACACUGGAACUGAGACACGGUCCAGACUCCUACGUGAGGCAGCAGUGGGGAAUAUUGGACAAGGGGCGAAAGCCUGAUCCAGCCAUGCCGCGUGUGUGAAGAAGGUCUUCGGAUUGUAAAGCACUUUAAGUUGGGAGGCGUUACCAACAGAAUAAGCACCGGCUAACUUCGUGCCAGCAGCCGCGGUAAUUC